rnacentral:tRNA from 1 species
GGGGUUGUAACUCAGUGGUAGAGUGUUAGCUUUGCAUGCGAAAAGCCCGGAGUUCAAUCCUCCGCAACUCCA